UUGUUGGCUUUUCUAGUGCUGGAUGACGAAGGACAAGUUCAAAACGUGCAUGUUGUCAGUGUGCUUUACAUUAAUCAUUCACAGACAACGGGUCCGGAAAUCGGUGACAUGAAGCUAGGCAACAAACCCGGCUAUAUUUGCGCCAAGUGAUGGGGGCACAACAUUGCCAACGGGUGUACUUACGUACACGACUGAAUCCUUACAAUAUCAAGAAAGAUGCCGAAAAUCAAGAAAUUGAAAUCAAAAAUUGGGCAGUUGCAUGUAAAGUAUACGACUAGAAGGACUUAGAUUUAUCUCUUCAAAUUAAAAAAUUUACCCCUUAAAAAACACCACCCACACAAUGUAAGAAGAUAAAAUUAACAAUGUUCAUAUCAUAUAUACUUUUUAAGGUUUUCGCAUUUUAAUCAACAAACGUCGUAUCUUUGGAACAUAUUUAUACUUCAUUAUAAAAAACUUUCGUAUGUAACAUUCGCGAAAAAUACACACGUUAAAGGACAUCAA